rnacentral:piRNA from 1 species
AGACUGUAACUGCCAGAGCAGCGCUUA